rnacentral:rRNA from 1 species
UUUGAUCCUGGCUCAGAUUGAACGCUGGCGGCAGGCUUAACACAUGCAAGUCGAGCGGAAACGAUGAUAGCUUGCUAUCAGGCGUCGAGCGGCGGACGGGUGAGUAAUACUUAGGAAUCUACCUAGUAGUGGGGGAUAGCUCGGGGAAACUCGAAUUAAUACCGCAUACGACCUACGGGAGAAAGGGGGCAACUUGUUGCUCUCGCUAUUAGAUGAGCCUAAGUCGGAUUAGCUAGAUGGUGGGGUAAAGGCCUACCAUGGCGACGAUCUGUAGCUGGUCUGAGAGGAUGAUCAGCCACACCGGGACUGAGACACGGCCCGGACUCCUACGGGAGGCAGCAGUGGGGAAUAUUGGACAAUGGGGGCAACCCUGAUCCAGCCAUGCCGCGUGUGUGAAGAAGGCCUUUUGGUUGUAAAGCACUUUAAGCAGUGAAGAAGACUCCGUGGUUAAUACCCACGGACGAUGACAUUGAGCUGCAGAAUAAGCACCGGCUAACUCUGUGCCAGCAGCCGCGGUAAUACAGAGGGUGCAAGCGUUAAUCGGAAUUACUUGGGCGUAAAGCGAGCGUAGGUGGCUUGAUAAGUCCAGAUGUGAAAUCCCCGGGGCUUAACCUGGGAACUGAUCUGAUACUGUUAGGCUAGAGUAGGUGAGAAGGAAGGUAGGAAUUUCCAGGUGUAGCGGGUGGAAAUUGCGGUUAGAGAUCUGGGGGGGGAAUACCGGAUUGGGAAAGGGCAGCCUUUCUUGG